UACGUAGGGGGCAAGCGUUGUCCGGAAUUAUUGGGCGUAAAGGGCGCGUAGGCGGAUAGUUAAGUCCGGUGUGAAAGAUCAGGGCUCAACCCUGAGAGUGCAUCGGAAACUGGUUAUCUUGAGAACAGGAGAGGAAAGUGGAAUUCCUAGUGUAGCGGUGAAAUGCGUAGAUAUUAGGAGGAACACCAGUGGCGAAGGCGACUUUCUGGACUGUAACUGACGCUGAGGCGCGAAAGCGUGGGGAGCAAACAGG
rnacentral:rRNA from 1 species